CAGCAGCCGCGGGAAUACAGAGGGUGCGAGCGUUAAUCGGAUUUACUGGGCGUAAAGCGUGCGUAGGCGGCUUUUUAAGUCGGAUGUGAAAUCCCUGAGCUUAACUUAGGAAUUGCAUUUGAUACUGGGAAGCUAGAGUAUGGGAGAGGAUGGUAGAAUUCCAGGUGUAGCGGUGAAAUGCGUAGAGAUCUGGAGGAAUACCGAUGGCGAAGGCAGCCAUCUGGCCUAAUACUGACGCUGAGGUACGAAAGCAUGGGGAGCAAACAGGAUUAGAGACCCCGGUAGUCCCUGUCUCUUAUAC
rnacentral:rRNA from 1 species